rnacentral:rRNA from 1 species
UAGCCGCGGGAAUACGGAGGGUGCAAGCGUUAUCCGGAUUUAUUGGGUUUAAAGGGUCCGUAGGCGGAUCUGUAAGUCAGUGGUGAAAUCUCACAGCUUAACUGUGAAACUGCCAUUGAUACUGCAGGUCUUGAGUAAAUUUGAAGUGGCUGGAAUAAGUAGUGUAGCGGUGAAAUGCAUAGAUAUUACUUAGAACACCAAUUGCGAAGGCAGGUCACUAAGAUUUAACUGACGCUGAUGGACGAAAGCGUGGGGAGCGAACAGGAUUAGAUACCCCAGUAGUCCCUGUCUCUUAUACACA